AGGGGGGCGGAAAAAAUUGAAGCCCGAUGCACUGCCAACAUUGAACUUGCCGCAGCGCAGAUUUGACAAGCAAAAGCUGCCUCGCAAGCCACCGGCAAAGAGAGCCCCUGUUUCAAGGCAAUCAAGGAUGUCAGGAAGCAUAGCCGACGAUGUUACAGGUCAUGCCUCUGUUCAUGAGGAAAAUCCUGCUGAGGAGGCUGCGUACGAUGG